AUCCUACUUACGAGUCUCAAAUAGGACGAAAUACGCUUCCAGUAU
rfam:Schistosoma rodhaini strain Burundi genome assembly, scaffold: SROB_scaffold0005274